rnacentral:rRNA from 1 species
GAUGAACGCUGGCGGCGUGCCUAACACAUGCCAGUCGAGCGGCAGCGCGGGGUGCUUGCACCCUGUCGGCGAGCGGCGGACGGCUGAGUAACGCGUGGGAACGUGCCCCAAAGUGAGGAAUAACUGCCCGAAAGGGUAGCUAAUACCGCAUAUUAUCUUCGGAUCAAAGGAUUUAUCCGCUUUGGGAGCGGCUCGCGUCGGAUUAGGUAGUUGGUGAGGUAAUGGCUCACCAAGCCGACGAUCCGUAGCUGGUCUGAGAGGAUGACCAGCCAGACUGGAACUGAGACACGGUCCAGACUCCUACGGGAGGAAGCAGUGAGGAAUCUUCCACAAUGGGCGAAAGCCUGAUGGAGCAACGCCGCGUGCAGGACGAAGGCCUUCGGGUUGUAAACUGCUUUUAUAAGUGAGGAAUAUGACGGUAACUUAUGAAUAAGGAUCGGCUAACUACGUG